GUAUGGUGCAAGCGUUAUCCGGAUUUACUGGGUGUAAAGGGAGCGCGGGCGGUGCGGCAAGUCUGAUGUGAAAGCCCGGGGCUCAACCCCGGUACUGCAUUGGAAACUGUCGUACUAGAGUGUCGGAGGGGUAAGCGGAAUUCCUAGUGUAGCGGUGAAAUGCGUAGAUAUUAGGAGGAACACCAGUGGCGAAGGCGGCUUACUGGACGGUAACUGACGUUGAGGCUCGAAAGCGUGGGGAGCAAACAGGAUUAGAUACCCUGGUAGUCCACGCCGUAAACGAUGACUACUAGGUGUCGGGCAGCAAAGCUGUUCGGUGCCGCAGCAAACGCAAUAAGUAGUCCACCUGGGGAGU
rnacentral:rRNA from 1 species